GUAGCCUGCUUGGUGGGUGCUGGGGAAGGGUUCUGGCUGGUCCUGUUAUCUAUAAGUCAUGAAUUAGAACACCUGACCAAUUUCACACCUGUCAUUCACCUGUGUAGUAAUUAGAACAGGUGUGUGUGUGUGUGUGUGUGUGUGGCCUGCUUGGUGGGUGCUGGGGAAGGGUUCUGGCUGGUCCUGUUAUCUAUAAGUCACUGCACUGGUUGACUUUGUGAGCGCCAAUAAACAGUGAAACAAUGACUUUGGUGUGUGAUAAUAAUGAUGAUGAUGAUGAUGGUGAUG